rnacentral:rRNA from 1 species
GACAGAGGGAGCAAACGUUGUUCGGAAUUACUGGGCGUAAAGCGCGCGUAGGCCGUCGAGUAAGUCGGAUGUGAAAUCCCCGGGCUUAACCUGUGAAUUGCAUUCGAUACUGCUUGACUAGAGUGUGGAAGAGGGAAGCGGAAUUUCCGGUGUAGCGGUGAAAUGCGUAGAUAUCGGAAGGAACACCAGUGGCGAAGGCGGCUUCCUGGUCCAACACUGACGCUGAGGCGCGAAAGCGUGGGGAGGGAACAGG